ensembl:lincRNA
CUGUCAACGGCCCCAGAAACAUCCAUUAUCCAGUGACGGUCCAUGAGAGAGAGAAACAGCGAGAGAAGGAACACAAGCAGGGCAAGUGGAAGAGGGAGAAGCAGGCCUCUGGUCAAGCAGGAAGCCUGAUGUGCGGCUCGAUCCCAGGACCCCAGGAUCAUGACCCAAGCUGAAAGCAGAUGCCCAAUGACUGAGCCAUCCAGUUCCAGAAAUAGAAACAAAUAAGAUGAGGCUUUUGAUCUCAUUGAACUCUCUUGGAGGCAAAGGGGCUGCAGACAUCGGAGUCACAGUACACUGAUGGAGGAAAGCCCCAGCUACUAUGAAAAGGAAUGCAUCACGUUUGUGGAAAAUCUAAGUCAAGGUUACCCUGUGCGACGGCAGUUAAGGAGAGCAGAGGAGCUUCGAGCACCAUGGUCUCCGUCUAUUUACAGUUUGGAAAGGAUAAGGAAGGCGGUACCCGGACUGAAUGUGCCUUUGUCUUGGUGUCGUUCCAGAACUUUGAACAAUUUACUUUUUUGUUUUCUCCCAGCCCUGGCCAUAAACACUUUCUUUUCUUGUUAGCUUUUUGUGGAGAAAACUUGGGAAAGAAGUAAGACUUCAAGUACGUCCACCCAAGGUGUUUAAGAAUACCCUGCCAUUUUUGCAAUUUCCAUCCUGUCCUUUCUUUAUAUCCAUUAGUAUGGCUUUGGGUUUGGUGUUAACAUGUUAAAAUGUGUGUGUGUAUGUGAGUGUGUGCACGUGUGAAUGUGUUAGAUGGUUCUAUUAUUGUAGAAAAAUGUUUCUGAGAUGUAUCUCAGGUGAGGUCAUAUUCUUUAAGGACUUCUGCUAAUUAUCUUGGUAUAUUUUGCCUGAAUAGAGAUAAAGAUACUUAUUCACCAAGGUUUUCCUCACAAAAAUAUAACUUUCACUUAAGGUUUGAUUUUGUCUGACUCUUACACACUUCUUCCUUCCACCUCCAUAAUCACACACACACACACAGGCACACACACACAUUGUACAAUUCUGGAAUGUCUUUUUUUUUUUUUUUUAGAGUUUUCUAAAUCUUUUAACUCUUCUCUCUUUCUUUCUUUUUAAAAAAAUCCUGUUUUUCUUUCUUUUCCUAGGACCUGUAUGAACCCCACCCAGAGUGUACUUCUAAUCCUCUUGUUUACUGCCCUAGUCAUGAAAUGUAAUUUAAUUUAGUCAGUAAGCUUGCUUUUUUUCCUCCUGAGAAUUUCAAAAAGGAAAAGUCAUGAAAAUUGCUUCUAUUGGUCCUGUGCGAUGACACAUCCACAUGUGUCAAAGCUGUCUCCAAUCAGGAAAGAGAAAAAAACCAAUCUUUCUUUUACAUGGGGAAUUGAAUGAUUUAUACAAAUUAGUUUGAAAUUGGGGGCAUAAAUAAGAUCCUUGAAAUUUUUCAGAUUUCUUUUUUUUCCUGAAAAAGACUGAUUCUUGAGGACAUCAACUGGAACAGAGAGUGCAUAAUUUUUUUUUAAAUAAGUAAUUAUGAAGAUGGCCUGAGUCAACCUCUGAUUCUAGAAAAUUCCUUUUUAGAGUUACUGUAAAUAUUGAACAGUGGUUCAUGAGUCAUGGGGAAAAACAAGUUUUGCCUGUCAUUCACAUGUGCCUCAGUGAACAAAUUUUACUUCAGAAAGGACAUGCUCUAUAGGAGUUAAAAUUAUGGUAUGCUGGGAAUUCCAAGAUGUCACCUGAAUCUGAAAAUGCUAUUGUGAUGCAGUCAUGCUGCCAUCUGCAUUUUGGGGGUCUAUUUUUUUGACAAGGAAUCUGAGACUUUUGGCAAGCAGGAUGCACAUCAGAGUACACAAGAGCCAUGUCUUGGUGACUUCCGCCUGAGAGCACAUGCACAGCUUCCUGUUUUGGUCUGAUAGCUUCCCCUGGGCUUUCAUAGAUGCAAAAUUACUCACACAGAGAUGGGUUGCCCAUGCAAAAAAGUAGGUGUCUUAUUUUUGGAAAGCUUUAUUUCACAUUAUCGUUGUCGUUUUAUUCUACUAGCUCUAUUUCCUCUUAUAUUUUACACUAACACUUAAAAUGUCAUUUCAACUGUCUGUGGGAAAUACUUUUUUUUUUUUCCCUCUCAGGCUUAUUCCUCUCGUUAUGUAUUUUCUUUCUUCUCUCUUGGUGCUGCUCUAAUAUUACUGCUUCAUUUGUUUAUAAUAUUAAUGACCAGCUAUAAAUGUUUCAUGAUAUACAAUGUUAAUUCAUUUGGUCAACCAUUUAAAAAUAUUUGUGAGCCUUUCCUGUCUCCCCCUGUAUAUAUACCCUGGUAAAAAUAUGCCUCAAAUGUUCAUUUUGCUUUCAAGUGGUUUGCAGUUUGGGUUGGGAGUUAUACUUACAGAAACUGUAGUACAAAAUAUAAAAUGAUUGGCUCCUAAAAAAGGUAAAGAUGAAAGACUGUGAGGAAUUUUUUUGUGUACAUUUUUGGCCACGGCAGAUCUUCCUUUGUGAAGUGUCUGUUCAAGUCUUUUGCCCAUAAUUUCCUUUUGGAUUUUUUAAAAAAAUUUUGAGUUGAAAGAGUUGUUUAUAUAGUCUGGGUCUAAGUGCCUCGUAUAUAUGUAUUUAUUCCAGGAUGUGGCUUGUUUAUUCAUUUUCUUAAGGUUUUAAUUUUGAUGAAUUCCACUGUAUGUGUAUGUGUACCUAUAGAUACAUAGAUAUUUUUAACUUAGGGCUUUCUGGGUCCUGUCAAAGAAGUUUUUGCCUUCUGUAAAGUCAUGAAGAUAAUAUUCCUUCUACUCCUGUGUUUUCUUCAAUGUCUAGGUUUACAUCAUUUAUCAUAAGGGAAAUGUCGUUAGGGAAAUGCAAAUCAAAGCCAAUGAGUUAUCACUACACGCUCACCAGAAUGGCUAAAAUUAAAAAAAUCUGACAAUACGUACUAAGUGUUGGCAAGGAUGCGGAGUAACUGGAAUCAUCACAUACAGAUGGUCCCCAACUUUCGAUGGUUCAAUUAAAUUUUUCGAUUUUACGAUCAGGCAAAAGCAAUAUGCAUUCAGAAGAAACAGAACUUCAGAUUUUGAAAUUUGAUCCUUUUCCAGUUAGUCAUACAUGAGCCAGAGCUUGUAGGCAACCACGUGAUCACGAGGGUAAACAACCCAUACAUUUACAAGCAUUCUGUUCACAUAGGACCAUUUUGUUGUUCACUUUCAGUACAGUAUUGAACUGAUUACAUGAGCUCUUCAACACUUUCCUAUAAAAUGGGCUCUGUGUUAGAGAAUUUUGCCCAACUGUAGCCUAAGGUAAGUGUUCUGAGCACCUUUAAGGUAGGCUAGGCUAAGCUUUGAUGUUUGGUAGGUUAGGUAUAUUAAGUGCAUUUUUGACUUAGGAUAUUUUCAACGUACAAUGGGUUUAUCAGAACCCAUUGUAAGUAGAGAAUAUCUGUACUGGUGGUCAGAAUAUAAAAUGAUGAUAUCUUUUUGGAAAUCAGUAUGACAAUUUCUCAUAUACAUAAACAUACACCAAACCUAUGAGUUAGCACUCAUGCUUUUAAGUUUCACCCAAAAGAAAUGAAGACAUAUGUCAACAAAAAAGACUUGUACAAGAAUGUUUCAUAGUGUCCUUAUGCAUAAUAACCAAUCAUUCAUCAGUCAGCAAGAGUAGAUAAACAAACAUUGAUUUAUUUAGGCAAUGGAGUAUUACCAUAAAAAGACAUAAAAUACUGAUAUAUGUGAGUAAUAGGGAUUAUUUUUGAAAAUGUUCAGUUCAGGAAGCCUUCCACAAAAGCAUGUGUGCUCUAUGAUUUCAUUUAUAUGGAAUUCUGGAAGAUAAAACCUUUUGGGGAUAAAAUAAAUCAAAGCAGUAGUUGCUCUCCCAAGAUUGACUGACUGGAACAAGGAAGGAGGAAACUUUCUGGGGUGAUGAAAGUGUUCUAUGUUUUCCUACAACUGUGAGUUGACACAAGCAUGUGAAUUUGUUAACACAGUGAAUAUACACUUAAAGUUUCUGCGUUUCAUCGUACAUAGAUAAUACCUCCAUGAAAAAUAGUGACAAAAGGCCUGAAAGACCAAAUUGAGUAGUUGAUUCAUUAGAAAUAUGACAUUUGGGUUUAAGAAUGGUUUCCAUACUCAGAGGGCCCUGGAUUCAAAUCAUAGUUCUGAAAAUUAAUAACUCUGUAAGGUGGGGUAAGAAAUGUAACUUCCUUGAGCUUCAGUUUUUCAUUUGCAGAACUGGAAUGAUUUCUUCUUUCAAGAGACAUUGGGAGAAUGUUUGUAAAAGGGCUAAUCACAAGGGCUGGCAUCAUGUGUUAAAUUAAUGCCACUUGAAUAAUUCUCCUUUUUGUCCCUGUAUUUCUUUUUGUUAUUAUUGAGCAAAGCAUCAAAUAUGAUUGUGAGGUUUUGAGUUACAGUGUAGAUGAAAAAUUGUUAACAGAAGUACAACCGCACUAACAAGGGCAUACCUGAGAGACAAUAUAAUAGGUUCUCUUUUGAACCUAAUGAAUCUGAGUAGAGAUGUUCUGAAGGUGGUUGGCACUAAAGGAUCUGGAAUUUGGGAG